ensembl:lncRNA A-kinase anchor inhibitor 1
AGAGCAGUGCAUUGUGGAGGCUGAGCGCGCCGCGGCGGCGGGAGCUGCGGCCCCGGGAUCGCGCGGCGGGGAGCUGUCCGAGGUGCUGAUCGUCCCGACCCGCGGCCAGCGCGCGCCCUACGCUCCCACCUGCACCGGACCCCAAGUCCUGGCUUUCCGUCCACUCUCAGUCUGUCCAUCUGUCUGUCUCUCCUUAUCUUGGGGGGCAACGGCUGGAGGAAAUCAUGGUGUUCGCUCCAGGUGAGAAACCUGGAAGUGAACCUGAAGAGGCGAAGCUGCAGAACGCCAGCAAACAGAUCGUGCAGAAUGCCAUCCUGCGCGCUGUGCAGCAGGUCUCCCAGGAGAGUCGGCGGAGGGAAGCCAGAGCCAGCGGCACCCAGGGCAGCCCCCAGCGGGGCGUGGGGGAGUUAACCAAGAAGCAUGAGAAGAAGUAACACCGUGGAUUCGGCCCUUGUCACACUGCUUGGUCUUCAGCCUUCCUCUUAGUAUAGGAUGUGUCGCCAAAAUGUUGCCAGUAAAGCAAACCAAAGUGUCAUAGGCACCUAGCAGUAGGAUGAACUUGCACGAGCCCCUCGUUGGGAUGCACUGUUCUGACAAAAGUGCAUUAGACGAUUCUGUUUAAACACAGUGCCUCGGAAACAUAGUCGGGCCAAACACGACACUGUAAUUGCAAAAGUAGUUUUGCAGCACAAUUCCUUUUUAAAAUCUUUUUUUUUUAAAAUGAUUCUGUCUUGUUUAUUUAAUUUUGCCUUUUGUGCAUUUUUUCUGUGAAUUUAACCAGCAGUCCUUUUUUGCUGAAACAUUGAGUGCAGUACUGAGAUCUGUAUAAUAUUUUAUAAAGACAUGCUGGAAGGGUGAAGGAAUAUUGUUUGAGUGCCCCUCAAAUAUGGAAUUGAAGGUUUUAAUAAAGUGGGUUCAGGUCCAAGAUCAAAUUAAGCAAAAAGCAAAUCCUAAGACCAAGUCCCUCAGGAUCUUAACAAGGUGUGUAUUUAUAUUACUUUUUUAAAAAGGAGGAAUUUCGCUUUUCCUGUAUUCAGUCUGAAAUCUCUCAGUUGUUUGAUACUCGGUAUUUACUCUCUGUGCAGAAAUCCUUUGGAAAUAUUACGGAUUACUUUUUCCAUCUCAAGAUGAAAAUAAGACAGGUACAUCUAUAUGCAUGAGUUGUCAAUGUUAGCAACCCCUUGAAGAGCAGCAAGAAUUGUAGGUUGCAUCCUGGAGAUACAGUAGUGCCUGAUGAUGGUAUAUGGUGCCUUUGGGAGGAGCUCUUGGAUCUUAUAAAUGCUGUGGGGCCUUCAGGCUAUGCAUCUGCACUAGUACCUUGCUAAUAGGAAAUUUCCUUGUCCCACCCACGAAUUACAUUUUUCUUGAGAUUAUGAAAAUCAUAUGUAUUGGGAAUGAAUGUUGCUUCAAAUGGGAAAAUCAUUCUCUCAACUUUCUGGAACAGCAAAAGACAGUGGGAACAGUCGAGCAACCGUGUUGUGAAUGCAGUUAUGGAAGCGUGUGUGUGAGUGAAUAAAGCCAUCUCCGCAGCAGAAUGACUUCUGCUUCACCCCCAUGGGGGUAACACAUAGUUUUCUAUGUCCUUAGCAUCCCAUUUCCUGGGCUUUGCAGCAGUUAUUGAGUUGGAGCUAUUGGGAACAGAGGGAGAAUUUGGCCUUUGUUAGAGAUCUUUUGGCUUCGGGGUGUCAGUGUCUACAUUUGAUAGUUUUUUUAAAAAGCAAAGUAUCAGCAUCUAAAGGGUGACAGAUAUGAAGAUCUGCUUCUAAAAUUCCAACAUGUUACACUUUCCAGAAGGGAUAUUAUUGAGAAAUGGAUGAACACAGUCUCUUAUUAGUUCUCUUAGACCAUCUCACACCAUGCACAGAUGGAAUAAGUUCACAGGGAGGAUGUCUGUGGGAGGGAGCAGAGGGGUAAACAUUUAAAUGUGGUUUAUUCAUAAUUUUCUCUGAAUAGUUCUCAUGACAAUUGAAGAAUGAGUUCAAGGUGACCUGAAGUCAUAUAACUGAGUAGAACUAUACCGCAUAGUUAAUAGGAAUAAAAUAUUAGGGGAAAUUAUUCAAGAGUAUACGCACACAGACACACACACACACACACACACACACACACACACAAAUAAACCCACUGCUUGUAGUUUGCAAAUGAUCUGACACUCUGUCUGCUAGGAUAUCUGAGUAGAAUCAGCCUUGGACUUGGUUGUCAUAUGGCAGAAACACAUAAACACACUCUCUUUCCUCUCUGGUGUGUCUGUGUUAAUACCUUGGGGAUCUUUGAGAAUAUCUGAUUAACCUCUGUAUCUAAAUGUUGUUUAUAAAUAAAACAUAUCCAGCUU